rnacentral:rRNA from 1 species
UACGAAGGGGGGCUAGCGUUGCUCGGAAUCACUGGGCGUAAAGGGUGCGUAGGCGGGUCUUUAAGUCAGGGGUGAAAUCCUGGAGCUCAACUCCAGAACUGCCUUUGAUACUGAAGAUCUUGAGUUCGGGAGAGGUGAGUGGAACUGCGAGUGUAGAGGUGAAAUUCGUAGAUAUUCGCAAGAACACCAGUGGCGAAGGCGGCUCACUGGCCCGGUACUGACGCUGAGGCACGAAAGCGUGGGGAUCAAACAGG